CGCGCGGGGAGCCGGCUGAGAGGAGCCCAGGCGGAGCCAGGCGCCCGCGGAGACCUCGCAGGGCUCCACCGCCCAGCAUUGUACAGGGCUGGGGAUCAAGGCCCCAUGAGCCGGAGUCCGGCCCCAAGCAGCCCCCGGGGAGGCCUGAGAGCAGAGUGAGCGCCUGUGCCCUGCAAGGCCUGGGUUCCAGCAGACACCAGACCUCCCUUGCGGAGAGAGGGACCCCACCAGGAGGCCUCGGGCACCUGACACCUCUCCAGGGUCAGCCCAGCCGCUCCCUCCCUGUGGCUGCCGGACCCCAGGGGGCCUGACUGCUGUCUGCGCCCCAGGCCUUCGCAGCCUCCUCUCUCCAGAGCUGGGCGGGGCUGACUUUGGAGCAGAAAGGCCAGGCAACAGGCACCAAUGCAGGCACUGGGAGGGGGACUGGCCAGAGGCUGCCCACCUGCUCAGCACAGGCGCCAGCGUGCCGGAGGUGCCUGCUGGGCGGCGCCCUUCCUGGGCACUGGGGACACACAGCACCGGGGAGCGGGGAUUCGGGUCAGCUCGGAGCUGGUGGGGGCACUACGCGUGGGCCGUGUCAGUGUGUGCACGGGGGACUGUGUGCAGGUGUGGGUGUCCAGAAAGAGGGCCCGGGGCGGCGAUGCUUGGGCCAGCGGGCAUCCACCAGAGGGAGAAGGGGCCCCACGAGGCUGCUUGGGCAGCACAAGUCUGGUGGCUUGUUGGCAGGGCUGGAGAGGUGGGUGUGGGAGUGCACAGAAGGGGGCCCUCCGAGAGGUGCCGGGGUUGAGGUGAGGAAGGGGGCUUCCGGGGAACUCCCAGGUAUCAGCAGGAGUUGCAGUUUGCGGUGGGAGGACAGAUACACCUGAGGACACGCUGGGCUUGCGGGAGCGGGGAUGCAGCGGUGGGUGUGUGCUGUGGGCGGGGUUGGGGCCCGAGGACCACCCUGCAGCUCCCACGGCGGGGGCAGCGGCACCGAGCUGAGAGGGGAGAGUGCUAGUGAGAAGGGCGGCCUGCCCUUCUUUCUCUCAGCCUGGGCCCCAACCUGCUCUGUGCCUGGUACUUUUUAAGGGAGCAUGGAAGCCAUUUUUAAAGCCCUUUCUCCAGGAGGGAGGAUAUCGAAAGACGAGUCAGCUGACCGGAGAUUGAUUUGCAUCCCAAAGGGUAUCUGUUCAGGACCUCACCGGGCAGACCUGCCCACUCCCAGCCCAGCCCCACCCACUUGCUCCCUGCGGGCUUCCCCGCCUCCUUUCUGGUUUCUGGAAGGCCCGGGGAACUUCCAGACACCCAGACUAAAUUGCGGAUUCCUUCAGAGGGGCCUAAUCAGCCCAGGGAUCCUGGGUCCUGACCCCCACAUGCCGCCUCCUCCUUCCUGACCCGGUGUCCCCUCCUCCAGGCCCCCUCCGGGGCCAGCCCUGUGCCGGCAGUUCAGCGAGGCCGGCAGAUCCUGGAGAGAACAGCCCCAGACAGGUAGGGCCCCGGCAGCUGCCCACUGAGAGCUGCCCCCGACUGAGGGAAAACUCGGCCAGGAGCCUCUGCCUAGGUCUCCGGACUUUGGCCCUAAAGCCUUCGUUCCCUGGCUGCAGGCACACAGCCACUGCCGGGCCUACCGGGGCUGGCUAGUCUGGCCAGAUGGGCAGGGUGGUGGCAUGGAGGGGGCACAGGAGGCCGUCCAGCGCCGCACUAGGGUGGAGUCGGGUGGCCACGAGCUGGCAGGAGGGCAGCAGAGGUGCUCUGGGCAGUGGCUGCUCGUGUCCACCUCCCCCGGAGGUCCUGUGCUGGUUCCUGGAGGAGCCCCAGGAUUCACCCCACGGCAGCCUGGCCCUCACACCCAGACUCCCUGCCGGCCCCCCAGUCUCUCAGGGUGACUCAUCCACACCCCAGCUCAGCGUCCCUACUACUGCCUUCACCCACGGGAGAGCCCGUGAGCCGUGCCCGGCACCGCGGGACAUAAUUUUGCCUUUGUCAUCCUCUGUCUCUCCCAUGAGGUGGGAGACUCCCAGAGGCCUCCCUGUGACCGGAAGGAACGUUGUCACCGUCACCAGCCUGUUCUGGGUUUGCCCGGCCAGGUGGCUGGUGCCCUCCCCCCACCCCUUCCCCGGGCCUGCUCCCACUUCCUUUACUGGAGCUCUCCUCGGCGGCCUGGCAGGGGUGUCUCUUGCAGCUCAGGCCAGCUAUCCCAAAGCCAGGUGCUUCUGAGAUGGAACCGAGAGUGCCUGGUCACAGGGGAACCGCAGGCCAGAGCCAUGGGUCAGAAACCACGGUUUCUCCAGAGCCAGUGCCCAGAGCGCAAGGAUGUGAGAGCCGGGGUGGGCCCCGGUGCUCGGCCCAGGCCACCUCAGGGCGCAUCUCAGGCCCGGCUGCUGCUGGGAGGGAGAAGAGUGGGGCCCGGAUGAGGGCGUUGAUUUCACUAAGCACCGGGCAAUGAGUCUGCUGCCAGCAGCCCACCAUCGGCCGUCCUUGGCCCGAAGAGGACACUGCAGUGGGACACGCAGGCUGGAAACACAUGGCAACACGCAGCCCUGAGCCCCGCGAGGUCUGCUCCUUCCCUCCUGAGCACUGGGCUCCCUGCCCCAUGGGGAUGGCACAGACACCGAGGGGGCAGAGGGGGUGACACACUGCCGGUGCCUGAGGACACACCACUACCCCCCUUCAGCCCAGCAAGAGGGGCCCCCGCCCCCGCCAACAGGCAAGGCAUCCCCGGGCCAGGAUGUGUGUCCGUGUGGGGUCCGCACCCCACCUCAGGACCACCUGCGGUCACCUGGGACUCCAGCUCCACCCACAGGGCCCAGGGCCCAUGUCCCAGCCACACCUCUGUGCUGCAUCCUUCUGCGACAUGGACAGGCCAUAGGGGUCACUCCCCCGGGCUGGCUGGUGGCUGGUGCGUGGCGAUUGGACGGCGCAGCCGUGGGCUUGACCGUCCACAGGCAGCUUGUGCGAAGCGACGGGGCCGCAGCCAUGGACGGGGCCGGACCCUCCUGUCCUGAUACUCGUUUUGGGCCCAGGACUCAGGAAUCCAAGCUCACGGACCAGUUUCCCAGGCGAAUGCAUCGGUAUUUUCUCAUUACCUAUCAGGUCAGUGGCAAAGGGAAUCUUGGACGCCACCUGGAAACGCAGCGAGACGGUUUCAGGAAUCCGGGAAUACACAGCCGCUAACACCAAGACGGCUUCGGGUGCAGCACACUCGUGCCCCACACGCUGGGGUCCCCGACCCUUGGCCUGGGCUGACCGGCGGUGCAGGGUGAGGCCAGAGCGCAGGACACGGGGCAGGUGGACGGCUGCUCAGCGGCCCGGGGGUGCCAGCGCAACAGACAGAAACACACUCUCCAGGGGCCCCGCGCCUCUCGUACAGCCCUGUGUUAAAUCACUAAGUCAAGCUAACACACGAGGGCUCACACCUGACUAAUAAAGUGGGGAAAGCAGAAAAAGCCUCGCUGUCGGAAAACCUGAAUGACACAACAAACUGACACCAACAAACUGAAAACGUGCAAGAAGUAACUCAGUGCUGGCUUUUCUGCUACAGAAAGACCGCUGCGACUCCGAGUGAGAAGGAGGGCCUCCUGCACGCAUGUGGGCACAGCUGGAGCUUAGGUGUGUCCCGCUAACUAGCCCCCUACCCCCAUGCCCGGCGCCCAAGGCCAGGCAAGCUCCGAUGCUCUCAGGGACCCUGCGAGCUCCAGAGGGCUACCGUCCAGCACCUCCUGCAGGAUGCUUUCUCUCCCCAGCAGCUGCCACGGGUUUUACUGGGCGGAGGGGCCGUGUCCAGGGGCAGAGGAAGACAGGGUAGUUCUGUCGUGGUUCUGGAAACUCUCCAUAAGAAUUCACAGGCCACCUCAAUUUAUUUUGAAAACAACAAAUUCCUUAAAACUUCUAGGUUGCAGCAUUACACAAAAUAUGUUUAAAUAGCGCUACAAAUGCUAGCAAAUUCCUCAUUUCUAGGGCCUGCGGAAGUCACACCUGGAUUUCUGGUCACCUGGACCUGGUGUGUCUCAUCUGGAUUUGCUCAUCCACCUCCUCAAAGUGGCCCUCCGUCUCCCGCCCGAUUCCCCUUUCCCUGUUCUCUAUCUACCAGGUUUGCCUUUCCAGAACCUUCCUUUCCCCUCCUCCCUCCUUGGGCCACGACUGGAUGUCUGGUUGGAGCCCUCCUGCGCCCUGACCUCCUCGGCUCCCACCCAGAGGCCCACCGCCCUGGGCUCCCACGCCAGGCCCCGUGCUGCCGAGGGUGCCCGACACCCUGCUGCCGGGGGUAUGUCCUCACUGCUCUGCUGGGGUGCCCGGGGCUUCCUGAGAACCUGUGACCUCUGCCACGCCCCACCCCAGCCAUCCCGUGGCAGCCUUGUCCUGCCCCGGGGCCCUGGUACGAUUCUGCCUUCAGCGCCAGAAACUGGGGGCUGUGCGCCCAUGUAACAAGGACGUGAGUGGAAACACACCAGGGCCCUCGACCAGUGCUGCCCGCUGCUGCCCCCGCCCCCGAAUGGACCAGUCUGAGAACCAGACCGAGCCUGCCCUCCUCAGGAAGCUUUAGACCUGUGCUUGUACGUCUGUGUGUGGGUCAGGGCAGCACAGCUGCUGUAGGGACAGGGC